AGAAAUAGUCUGUCUUAAUUAAAGAUAUUGAAUUUAACUUUUGAGUGAAAAGGCUUAAAUGAUCUGAAGGGAAGAUAAGACCCUAUAAAACUUUAUAUUUAAGAGUGGGAGUUAGUUUUAUUUAAAGGUUGCUAUUUUAUAAUAUUUGGUUGGGGCGACAGGGAUAAAAAAAGUAACUGUCCUUUUUUUUUUACAAUAAUAUUUGGUUUAAUGAUCCUAAAAUCGAUGGAAGAUUAAGUUACUUUAGGGAUAACAGCGUUAUUUUCUUUAAGAGUCCUUAUCGACAGGAAAGUUUGCGACCUCGAUGUUGAAUUAUAAGUUCUUUAUGGGGUAGAGGCUAUAAUAGAAGGUCUGUUCGACC
rnacentral:rRNA from 1 species